CUGUGUACAAAUACCCUAAAGGCACCAGAGCCCUUCUGAUCUUGGAAGCUAAGUAGUCUUAACCCUGGUUAUUACUUAGAUGGGAGGCCAUCAACAAAUACCAAGUACUAGACUUGUGCACAGA
rnacentral:rRNA from 11 species